rnacentral:lncRNA from 1 species
CUAAUUAAAACCAAUAUUCUUCACGAAGGAAAUAAUUUGAAAUUGUUGUGAUAUAAUUAUGGAGGGUAUUCUGCCUAUGGUUUUCAGAAUAAUCAAGAAACACAAAAAUCGUAGAAAGUAUCAUUGUCUUUCAUCUGGUGCUGCAAUACGUUACAAAACCGAAUUAUACAAUGAUGAAGAAGCAGCUUCUAGAAGAAUUAAUGAUGAUUAUAUAGACAAAAUCGAUUAUCGACGAUAUAGUUUUGCUACAGAGUCCUCUGUUAAUGGAUUUCCUUUUCCUCAGCAUUCUGUUGAUGACUCUCCUAAUUCAAAGAAACUCGUCAAUUAUAAAGUAGGUCCAUGCAUUACUGGUUUAGAUUCGCGAGGUGCAUCUUCUUCCUCUGUAUAUUAAUUAAUUCAUGUCCAAUUCGUAUAAUUUGUAAUUGUAACAAACAGUUACAUAAUUAUGUGGCUUUAAUCCAAAUCGUGUUUUGAAAUUUAUUAAAUCUAGUUCCGUGCCAUUAUUGAUGAAUCAUGGAUUGUAUUAAAUUAUGUGCAAACUAUUUUUAUUUUUAUUUUACAUAGAUUAUGUGCAAACUAGAUUCA